rnacentral:rRNA from 1 species
GUAAGUAGAGCGUUAUAAAGCGAAACUGCGAACGGCUCAUUACAACAGAUAUAAUCUACUUGUUCUAUGACUUAAAUGGAUAACUGCGGUAAUUCUGGAGCCAAUACAUGCGAACAGCUGCGGCCUUCGGGUUGCAGUGCUAUUAUUGGAGCAAAACUAUUCGUUAGUCCUUUUGCUAACUCUGGAUAAUACUGCGUAUCGCACGAUCUUGUGUCGGCGAAGUUUCAUUCGAGUAUCUGCCCUAUCAACUGGUUGGCAGUGUAUUGGACUGCCAUGGUUCUAACGGGUAACGGAGAAUCAGGGUUUGACUCCGGAGAAUCCGCCUUAAAAACGGCGAAUAUGUCUAAGGAUAGCAGCAGGCGCGAAAAUUACCCAAUAUCAAUACGAUGAGGUAGUGACGAGAAAUAACGAGUCCGUUCUCUCUGAGGUCGGACAUUGGAAUGGGUACAAUGUAGACAAUUUAACGAGUAUCUACGAGAGGGCAAGUCUGGUGCCAGCAGCCGCGGUAAUUCCAGCUCUCGUAAUACAUAGAAUUAUUGUUGCGGUUAAAAAGUUCAUAGUUGGAUUGUUGAACCGUUCGGGGUGCGUCUUAACGGGCGUCACUCGUGGGCGGUAUUUUGCGCGUUU